rnacentral:rRNA from 1 species
AGAGUUUGAUCCUGGCUCAGAUUGAACGCUGGCGGCAUGCCUUACACAUGCAAGUCGAACGGUAACGCGGGGCAACCUGGCGACGAGUGGCGAACGGGUGAGUAACGCAUCGGAACGUGCCCAGUAGUGGGGGAUAGCCCGGCGAAAGCCGGAUUAAUACCGCAUACGACCUACGGGUGAAAGCGGGGGACCGUAAGGCCUCGCGCUAUUGGAGCGGCCGAUGUCAGAUUAGGUAGUUGGUGGGGUAAAAGCCUACCAAGCCGACGAUCUGUAGCUGGUCUGAGAGGACGACCAGCCACACUGGGACUGAGACACGGCCCAGACUCCUACGGGAGGCAGCAGUGGGGAAUUUUGGACAAUGGGCGCAAGCCUGAUCCAGCCAUGCCGCGUGCGGGAUGAAGGCCUUCGGGUUGUAAACCGCUUUUGUCAGGGAAGAAACGCUCCGGGCCAAUACCCUGNGGUAAUGACGGUACCUGAAGAAUAAGCACCGGCUAACUACGUGCCAGCAGCCGCGGUAAUACGUAGGGUGCAAGCGUUAAUCGGAAUUACUGGGCGUAAAGCGUGCGCAGGCGGUUUUGUAAGACAGAGGUGAAAUCCCCGGG